CCAAAGCGUAUAUUAAAGUUGUUGCAGUUAAAAAGCUCGUAGUUGAACCUUGGGCUUGGCUGGCCGGUCCAUCUUUUUUGAUGCGUACUGGACCCAGCCGAGCCUUUCCUUCUGGCUAGCCUUUUGGCGAACCAGGACUUUUACUUUGAAAAAAUUAGAGUGUUCAAAGCAGGCCUUUGCUCGAAUAUAUUAGCAUGGAAUAAUAGAAUAGGACGUUAUGGUUCUAUUUUGUUGGUUUCUAGGACCAUCGUAAUGAUUAAUAGGGACGGUCGGGGGUAUCAGUAUUCAGUUGUCAGAGGUGAAAUUCUUGGAUUUACUGAAGACUAACUACUGCGAAAGCAUUUACCAAGGACGUUUUCAUUAA
rnacentral:rRNA from 1 species